CGGGCCAGGUCGGUGCCAUGUUCUGUUAGAUAGUGUAAUAUUGCACUCGUCCCGGCCUGAC
rnacentral:pre_miRNA from 1 species